UACGAAGGGGGCUAGCGUUGUUCGGAUUUACUGGGCGUAAAGCGCACGUAGGCGGAUCGUUAAGUCGGGGGUGAAAUCCUGGAGCUCAACUCCAGAACUGCCUUCGAUACUGGCGAUCUUGAGUCCGGAAGAGGUGAGUGGAACUCCUAGUGUAGAGGUGGAAUUCGUAGAUAUUAGGAAGAACACCAGUGGCGAAGGCGGCUCACUGGUCCGGUACUGACGCUGAGGCGCGAAAGCGUGGGGAGCGAACGGG
rnacentral:rRNA from 1 species